rnacentral:rRNA from 1 species
GGUGUGAGUAACACGUGGAUAACCUACCUAUAAGACUGGGAUAACUUCGGGAAACCGGAGCUAAUACCGGAUAAUAUAUUGAACCGCAUGGUUCAAUAGUGAAAGACGGUUUUGCUGUCACUUAUAGAUGGAUCCGCGCCGCAUUAGCUAGUUGGUAAGGUAACGGCUUACCAAGGCAACGAUGCGUAGCCGACCUGAGAGGGUGAUCGGCCACACUGGAACUGAGACACGGUCCAG